rnacentral:sRNA from 1 species
UAAGCGGAGCCAUACAAACAAU